rnacentral:lncRNA from 1 species
GAAGGGCCGGCGGGGCGGCCGGAGCGGGUGCGAGCUGCUCCGCCCGGGGGAACGCGCGGGGCCGGGGGGACGGAGCGGCAGCGCGGCGCCUCCACCCCCAGGCAGCGUGCCCGGCCAGACAUCGCUGCGUUCCCAUCCGGCCCCUCGGGAGAUCCUGCCCUGUUGCUAAUUGUCGAGAGCUGUCCAGAGUCCUCCUCCAUGUGAUCCUGCUGUGCCCCAUCCUGCUGUGCUCCUGAGGUGUGCCAUUCCCUGCUCUGAUGACAGCUCCCACCAGGAUGCUGAGCAGCAGCCACCGGCAGGGAGGGAGGCCAGUGGUGGGCACGGAACUGUAAAGUCACAGCCAAAAGUUCUGAGAGCACGAGUGAAGAGUCUGAGCUGACCCAAAAGCUGUCUCCAAGCUCCAGCUGGAUGUCGUGGGAAGCUCUGCAAGCUGGAGUUCAAGGGGAUGCUGAUUGAGGGACCAAAAAUGUGAGCUUGGGACAGCAGCUGCUCCUUCCAGGCUUGGAGUGCUCCCAGUGCUCGGUGCAGGGACCUUCUAGCAUGCUCCUUCAGCCAGGCCACUCAGUGGGUGCCAGCAGCAAGACACCAGGCUGACCCUACAGCGACUGGCACUGCCCCUGCCAAGCAGGAAUCGUGUUGGGUGAGAGGCUUUUCUGACUCAGCUGGCACUGGGCUGGGCUGGGAGGGGCUGGAAGGAAGGAAGGAGACCUUCUCUCCUCUGGUUUGUGAGCACAGUUACCCUGCUUCGUGUCUCUCAUGCCUCUUGUUCUUGUCUUUCUUCCUUGUUUGAAUUCCUCCUUUGAGUGUUUCUGUGCUGGCUGUGUGAAGGCUAUGUGCUUAAAUGGGUG